rnacentral:pre_miRNA from 1 species
AUUUAAAAUUUUUAUUCAUUUGUAUUAUUAAAAAUUAAUGUGGCUGAUGGAAUAAUCAAAUAAUAACAUGUGACGUGUCAUAUGUACCUCAUAUUGAUGUACAAGUACCAAUUUUUAACAAUAGAAAUGGAUAAAAUAUUUAACA